UACGGAGGGGGCUAGCGUUGUUCGGAAUUACUGGGCGUAAAGCGCGCGUAGGCGGCUUUGUAAGUUAGAGGUGAAAGCCCGGAGCUCAACUCCGGAAUUGCCUUUAAGACUGCAUCGCUAGAAUCAUGGAGAGGUGAGUGGAAUUCCGAGUGUAGAGGUGAAAUUCGUAGAUAUUCGGAAGAACACCAGUGGCGAAGGCGAUUUACUGGACACAUAUUGACGCUGAGGUGCGAAAGCGUGGGGAGCAAACAGG
rnacentral:rRNA from 1 species